rnacentral:rRNA from 1 species
CCUACGGGAGGCAGCAGUGGGGAAUAUUGCACAAUGGGGGAAACCCUGAAGCAGCGACGCCGCGUGAGUGAAGAAGUUUCUCGGUAUGUAAAGCCCUAUUAGUAGGGAAGAAAAUGACGGUACCUGACUAAUAAGCACCGGCUAACUACGUGCCAGCGGCCGCGGUAAUACGUAGGGGGCAAGCGUUAUCCGGAUUCACUGGGCGUAAAGGGAGCGUAGACGGCAGUGCAAGUCAGGAGUGAAAUCCCGGGGCUUAACCAUGGAACUGCUUUGGAAACUGUUAGGCUGGAGUGGAGGAGAGGUAGGUGGAAUUCGUGGUGUAGCGGUAAAAUGCGUAGAGAUGAAGAGGAACACCGAUUGCGAAGGCGGCUUGCUGGACCAUAACUGACGUUGAGGCUCGAAAGCGUGGGGAGCAAACAGGAUUAGAUACCCCAGUAGUC